rnacentral:rRNA from 1 species
UACAGAGGUCUCAAGCGUUGUUCGGAUUCAUUGGGCGUAAAGGGUGCGUAGGCGGCGCGGUAAGUCGGGUGUGAAAUCCCGGGGCUUAACUCCGAAACUGCAUUCGAUACUACCGUGCUUGAGGACUGGAGAGGAGACUGGAAUUUACGGUGUAGCGGUGAAAUGCGUAGAUAUCUGGAGGAAUACCGGUGGCGAAGGCGGCAUCCUGGACCGACAUUGACGCUGAGGAGCGAAAGCCAGGGGAGCAAACGGG